rnacentral:rRNA from 1 species
AUUGAACGCUGGCGGCAGGCCUAACACAUGCAAGUCGAGCGAGCGGCGGACGGGUGAGUAAUGUCUGGGAAACUGCCUGAUGGAGGGGGAUAACUACUGGAAACGGUAGCUAAUACCGCAUACCAUCAGAUGUGCCCAGAGGGGAUUAGCUAGUAGGUGGGGUAACGGCCCACCUAGGCGACGAUCCCUAGCUGGUAUGAGAGGAUGACCAGCCACACUGGAACGUAGACACGGUCCAGACUCCUACGGGAGGCAGCAGUGGGGAAGAUUGUACAAUGGGAGAAAGCCUGAUGCAGCCAUGCCGCGUGUGGGAAGAAGGAAUUAGGGUUGUAAAGCACUUUCAGCGGGGAGGCGUUACCAGCAGAAGAAGCACCGGCUAACUCCGUGCCAGCAGCCGCGGUAAUUC